rnacentral:rRNA from 1 species
UACAGAGGUCCCAAGCGUUUGUUCGGAUUCACUGGGCGUAAAGGGUGCGCAGGUGGGUUGGCAAGUUUGAUGUGAAAGCCCCGGGCUUAACCCGGGAAUGGCAUUGAAUACUGCUGAUCUGGAGGAUUGGAGGGGGGACUGGAAUUCUUGGUGUAGCAGUGAAAUGCGUAGAUAUCAAGAGGAACACCAGUGGCGAAGGCGAGUCCCUGGACAAUACCUGACACUGAGGCACGAAAGCCAAGGGAGCAAACAGG